UGGGGAAUAUUGGACAAUGGGGGGAACCCUGAUCCAGCCAUGCCGCGUGUGUGAAGAAGGUCUUCGGAUUGUAAAGCACUUUAAGUUGGGAGGAAGGGCAGUUACCUAAUACGUGAUUGUUUUGACGUUACCGACAGAAUAAGCACCGGCUAACUCUGUGCCAGCAGCCGCGGUAAUACAGAGGGUGCAAGCGUUAAUCGGAAUUACUGGGCGUAAAGCGCGCGUAGGUGGUUAGUUAAGUUGGAUGUGAAAUCCCCGGGCUCAACCUGGGAACUGCAUUCAAAACUGACUGACUAGAGUAUGGUAGAGGGUGGUGGAAUUUCCUGUGUAGCGGUGAAAUGCGUAGAUAUAGGAAGGAACACCAGUGGCGAAGGCGACCACCUGGACUGAUACUGACACUGAGGUGCGAAAGCGUGGGGAGCAAACAGGAUUAGAUACCCCCGUAGUCCCUGAGCGGGCUGGCAAGGCGCAU
rnacentral:rRNA from 1 species